AUUGAACGCUGGCGGCAGGCCUAACACAUGCAAGUCGAGCGAGAAAGGUCUUCGGACUGAGUACAGCGGCGGACGGGUGAGUAAUGCGCAGGAAUCUACCUGGUAGUGGGGGAUAACUCGGGGAAACUCGAACUAAUACCGCAUACGCCCUACGGGGGAAAGCGGGGGACCGUUCGGGCCUCGCGCUAUCAGAUGAGCCUGCGUAGGAUUAGCUUGUUGGUGAGGUAAAGGCUCACCAAGGCGAAGACGGGUAGCUGGUCUGAGAGGAUGAUCAGCCACACUGGAACUGAGACACGGUCCAGACUCCUACGGGAGGCAGCAGUGGGGAAUAUUGCGCAAUGGGCGAAAGCCUGACGCAGCCACGCCGCGUGAGCGAUGAAGGCCUUCGGUCGUAAGACUCUGUGGGAGGAGAAGAAUAAAGACCUGUGAAGAGCAGGCCUUGACGGUAUCUCCUUAGCAAGCACCGGCUAACUCCGUGCCAGCAGCC
rnacentral:rRNA from 1 species